rnacentral:rRNA from 1 species
AUACGGAGGGUGCAGGCGUUACUCGGAAUCACAGGGCGUAAAGCGCGUGCAGGCGGCUAUUCAAGUUGGAUGUGAAAGCCUACGGCUCAACCGUAGAACUGCAUCCAAAACUAUUUAGCUAGAGUGUGGGAGAGGAAGAUGGAAUUAGUUGUGUAGGGGUAAAAUCCGUAGAGAUAACUAGGAAUACCAAAAGCGAAGGCAAUCUUCUGGAACACUACUGACGCUGAGGCGCGAAAGCGUGGGGAGCAAACAGGAUUAGAAACCCCUGUAGUCC